AAAGAUCUUUGUCCUGGAAUAGUUCUCAUCUGGAAGAAAGGUGCACUGUUUUGUGGCAAGUUUGGAUUUUCAGAAUCAUUGAAAAUGAAUGGAGAAAUAACUCUUUCCUUGUAUAUUUAUUUUUUUUUAAUUAUUCUUUUGGAAGUGGGUUAAGAAAAACAACCUUGAUUUCCCCCCCCCCCUCACCCAUGAAUCCCCAACCCUGGCAAAAUGCUUUGUUGCUGUCUGAGGUAAUGUUUCUUUUCACAUGCUACAGCCCCUUGUGAGAUCACACUUCUCUUGCUGAGCUGCUAGGAUAUGUCACAAGAAUUCCUGAUCAUUGUACAACAGAGAAAACUGAAGUCCCAGGGCAUGAACAUACUUAACAUCUAUCAGAUCAAUCAAAUUUGGCAAUGGUGAGAAAAGGAAAGAUUCAGCUGAAAACCAACAACAUAUUUACAUUAUUUUGAAAAAAAUUAUUAGUUGGAAAAAACAAAAACAACAACAACAAAAAACAGUUUUCUGUUGACAAGAACUUUGAAAAAAAAAAAAAACACAACUCCUCUCAACCAGUCAUUUCUGAAAGGCUAACACUCUGCUGAUGGCAAAGUAUUUGGUUGCUAACUUUUGUACAGAUGGCUGCAUAACAUUCACAGAAGGAAUGAUUCUAGGAGCCAGUUUUUCAAAUGUCAUCUUCUACAUAUGUAAGUGCAAAUGGGUCCCUGCAUAUCACUUGUGCAUGCAAAUGCUAGACCUAGCAUUUGCACAUCAAGUGCAGAUCGGCUUCGGGCAUUAUCCUACAGAUGGACAGAUAAGGUGUGAAUUGCAUUUGUUCAAAGCUACAAAUCCCUUUAAAAAGGUGGUCUCCGGAUUUGUCUACUCCCAGCAACUCUGUGCUGCUGAGGUAAACAGAGAUACUCCCACACAUUUUUGUGGAGAGAGCCUUUUCUUCCUCAUGGCUUAUCCUGCUGUGCCUUUUACUGACCAUGGAAGACAAGCCUCUGCCAUGAACAGUGAAGGAAUAUUUCUCCUGCUUUAAAAUGAAAUAGUGGACUAGAUAAUCUCUUGACAUGCAUUUCCUAUCCCAUUUUCUCUGUAUUAUUGCAGGCAGUGUCACGGUAAUCACAGUUUUAUUUGAAUGAUGGAAAAGUAAAAUUAUGCUUAAUUAAAAUUAAAGUCCUGUUUAAUCGUCAUUCAGUAAUUCACUAGUCAGAAAGAAAAACACAGUUGGAAAUAAAAUUGUCCCUGUCUCUGCUUGGAUCA
rnacentral:lncRNA from 1 species